rnacentral:rRNA from 1 species
CCUCCAAGUAGUGCGGGCUUUGCCUGCCAUCUCUUACCCAUGUCUUUUGAGUACCUUCGUUUCCUCGGCGGGUUCGCCCGCCGAUUGGACAAAACUUAAACCCUUUGUAAUUGAAAUCAGCGUCUGAAAAAAACAUAAUAGUUACAACUUUCAACAACGGAUCUCUUGGUUCUGGCAUCGAUGAAGAACGCAGCGAAAUGCGAUAAGUAGUGUGAAUUGCAGAAUUCAGUGAAUCAUCGAAUCUUUGAACGCACAUUGCGCCCCUUGGUAUUCCAUGGGGCAUGCCUGUUCGAGCGUCAUUUGUACCUUCAAGCUUUGCUUGGUGUUGGGUGUUUGUCUCGCCUCUGCGCGCAGACUCGCCUCAAAACGAUUGGCAGCCGGCGUAUUGAUUUCGGAGCGCAGUACAUCUCGCGCUUUGCACUCACAACGACGACGUCCAAAAAGUACAUUUUUUACACUCUUGACCUCGGAUCAGGUAGGGAUACCCGCUGAACUUAAGCAUAUCAAUAAGCGGAGGAA